GACUGAGACACGGCCCAAACUCCUACGGGAGGCAGCAGUAGGGAAUCUUCCACAAUGGACGCAAGUCUGAUGGAGCAACGCCGCGUGAGUGAAGAAGGCUUUCGGGUCGUAAAACUCUGUUGUUGGAGAAGAAUGGUCGGCAGAGUAACUGUUGUCGGCGUGACGGUAUCCAACCAGAAAGCCACGGCUAACUACGUGCCAGCAGCCGCGGUAAUACGUAGGUGGCAAGCGUUAUCCGGAUUUAUUGGGCGUAAAGCGAGCGCAGGCGGUUUUUUAAGUCUGAUGUGAAAGCCCUCGGCUUAACCGAGGAAGCGCAUCGGAAACUGGGAAACUUGAGUGCAGAAGAGGACAGUGGAACUCCAUGUGUAGCGGUGAAAUGCGUAGAUAUAUGGAAGAACACCAGUGGCGAAGGCGGCUGUCUGGUCUGUAACUGACGCUGAGGCUCGAAAGCAUGGGUAGCGAACAGGAUUAGAUACCCUGGUAGUCCAUGCCGUAAACGAUGAAUGCUAGGUGUUGGAGGGUUUCCGCCCUUCAGUGCCGCAGCUAACGCAUUAAGCAUUC
rnacentral:rRNA from 1 species